UACGUAGGGGGCAAGCGUUGUCCGGAUUUACUGGGCGUAAAGAGCGUGUAGGCGGCCAUGUAGGUCCGUUGUGAAAACUCGAGGCUCAACCUCGAGACGCCGAUGGAAACCAUGUGGCUAGAGUCCGGAAGAGGAGAGUGGAAUUCCUGGUGUAGCGGUGAAAUGCGCAGAUAUCAGGAAGAACACCCGUGGCUAAGGCGGCUCUCUAGUACGGUACUGACGCUGAGACGCGAAAGCGUGGGGAGCGAACAGG
rnacentral:rRNA from 1 species